rnacentral:lncRNA from 1 species
AUACCACCAACUCACAACUUCCACAUGAGAAAAGCAAGUCAAAGUGUCCAUAUGGUCCAUGGGUCCAAGGUCACUCCAAGUCAAGUAAAUAGGUUAAACCUAAGUCAAAGUCCAUAGUCCAAAAGGUCUUCAACACUCCAAGUCAAGCAAAAGGGAUAAACCUAAAUCAAAGUCCUUAGUCCAAAAUGUCUUCAACACUUCAAGUCAAGCAAAGUUUAGGAUUAAAUCUAAG